GACGAACGCUGGCGGCGUGCCUAAUACAUGCAAGUAGAACGCCGAAGGAGGAGCUUGCUUCUCUGGAUGAGUUGCGAACGGGUGAGUAACGCGUAGGUAACCUGCCUGGUAGCGGGGGAUAACUAUUGGAAACGAUAGCUAAUACCGCAUAAUAGUAGAUGUUGCAUGACAUUUGCUUAAAAGGUGCAAUUGCAUCACUACCAGAUGGACCUGCGUUGUAUUAGCUAGUUGGUGGGGUAACGGCUCACCAAGGCGACGAUACAUAGCCGACCUGAGAGGGUGAUCGGGCACACUGGGACUGAGACACGGCCCAGGCUCCUACGGGAGGCCGCAGUAGGGAAUCUUCGGCAAUGGACGGAAGUCUGACCGAGCAACGCCGCGUGAGUGAAGAAGGUUUUCGGAUCGUAAAGCUCUGUUGUAAGAGAAGAACGAGUGUGAGAGUGGAAAGUUCACACUGUGACGGUAUCUUACCAGAAAGGGACGGCUAACUACGUG
rnacentral:rRNA from 1 species